rnacentral:rRNA from 1 species
GAUGAACGCUAGCGGCAGGCCUAAUACAUGCAAGUCGAACGGGAUUGGGGAGCUUGCUCCUCAUGAGAGUGGCGCACGGGUGCGUAACACGUAUGUAACCUACCUUAAUCAGGGGGAUAGCCUCUCGAAAGAGAGAUUAACACCGCAUAAAAUCACACUAUGGCAUCAUAGAAUGAUCAAAUAUUUAUAGGAUUAAGAUGGGCAUGCGGAACAUUAGCUAGUUGGUAAGGUAACGGCUUACCAAGGCUACGAUGUUUAGGGGAUCUGAGAGGAUGGCCCCCCACACUGGUACUGAGACACGGACCAGACUCCUACGGGAGGCAGCAGUAAGGAAUAUUGGUCAAUGGACGGAAGUCUGAACCAGCCAUGCCGCGUGCAGGAAGACGGCCCUACGGGUUGUAAACUGCUUUUGUACCGGAAUAAACCUCUUUACGUGUAAGGAGCUGAAUGUACGGUAAGAAUAAGGAUCGGCUAACUCCGUGCCAGCCGCCGCCGUAAAAC